CAAGAAAGGCAACACACCAGAAGAAUGAAAAUCCUUUCUGGAUUGAGGUUUCCUCAUUAUUCAGCUGCCAAAUCCACAGAUACUGCAUUCACCACUUUUGAAGGAGGUUUCAACUUACAUUUGGCUUCAUGCUGCUUCGGUACUCCCUCUGUACUUUGAGCUGUCAUGCAUUGGAAGAGCUGGUAUGCAUGCACAAAUUGUGGUGUCCCAGUGACAAACUUAUCUGUUUCUUCAGUAUGUAGUUAUUUGCAGCUUACUGGAAUUUAUUCAUAUGUGAAUGGAGUUUACAGUGCUUUCUGCUUACAAAAGCCAUUUCAGAAGCCAUAAACAAAGAGCCAAUUCAGUUGACUGCGAUUUGCAUUAAGCGUUUCUUGGAGCUCCAGAAAAGAGUUGAAAUAGUAGUGAAAUGCAAUCUGGAUAGAGAUAUGGAGGAUCAUAAUUGUUUCAUGGAAUAUGGCACUUGACGUGUUAAUAUGUGAUAUUUUUCCCUGUAUGUGUACCUUAGCAAUUACAUCAGAGAGCAUGUGUUAUGAGUUGUUCUAAAGUGAGGUAUCCUAUGGAUCUGAAUGUAUUCUCAGUAGAUUAGCAAAAAAAAAAAAGUUUUCUAAUCAGUAUGCUGUACAUUCAGAUUAACUUCUCAUUAUACUAGUAUCUGAAUUCAAUAUAAAAACAUCUAAACUGUUAAUGGCAUAAUUAUUAGGGAAAAAAGUCAAAAUACUUUUCUUUCUUGCUUUUUAAAAUGUAAAGCCAAAUUAUCUUAAAGACACGCACACACAUACAAAAUACUGAAAAAUGACUUUAUUCUGUAAAGAAAACUCUUUAUAAUUCAAAUUAUAGAAAUAUGGAUUUAUUUGGAUUGGAAGAGACCCUAAGAGAUCUUCCAGCAGCCACCCCUCAAUCACAGACAGGACAUUGAUCAGGUUGCCCAAAGCCGUGCAAUUUGGUCCUGAGCACUUCCAGAGGUGGUGCAUCCACAGCUUCUCUAGACAAUGUUUGAGUUCCUCACCACCUCCUCCAGAAUGAGAAUAUCACAGUGUUUAUUCUCACAUUAUGGCAAAGCACAAGGACAGAAAAAUCAACUACAGAGGUCUUAGAAAAGGAAGAAUAACCUCUUCUUAUAAGACAGAAGUAAGCAGACUAAAUCCAAUUUUAUUUUUUUUUUAAAUCAAAUACUGGCAAUAUUGUGCUUUACAAUCUUGCUUCCACCAUAUGUUUCUAAUAAAUAAUAACAGCUCAUUUUAAAUCCCCCUGCUAUUUACUGGGAAACAUUUUGUCAUAAUAAAUUUUGUUUAAAUCAU
rnacentral:lncRNA from 7 species